rnacentral:rRNA from 1 species
UACGAAGGGGGCUAGCGUUGUUCGGAAUCACUGGGCGUAAAGGGCGCGUAGGCGGCGCGACAAGUCAGGCGUGAAAGCCCCGGGCUCAACCCGGGAAUUGCGCUUGAUACUGUCGUGCUUGAGGCCGGGAGAGGAUGGCGGAAUUCCCAGUGUAGAGGUGAAAUUCGUAGAUAUUGGGAAGAACACCGGUGGCGAAGGCGGCUCACUGGCCCGAUACUGACGCUGAGGCACGAAAGCGUGGGGAGCAAACAGG